rnacentral:rRNA from 1 species
GACGAACGCUGGCGGCGUGCUUAACACAUGCAAGUCGAACGCUGAAGCUUGGUGCUUGCACUGGGUGGAUGAGUGGCGAACGGGUGAGUAAUACGUGAGUAACCUGCCCUUGACUCUGGGAUAAGCCUGGGAAACUGGGUCUAAUACUGGAUACGACAUGUCACCGCAUGGUGGUGUGUGGAAAGGGUUUUACUGGUUUUGGAUGGGCUCACGGCCUAUCAGCUUGUUGGUGGGGUAAUGGCUCACCAAGGCGACGACGGGUAGCCGGCCUGAGAGGGUGACCGGCCACACUGGGACUGAGACACGGCCCAGACUCCUACGGGAGGCAGCAGUGGGGAAUAUUGCACAAUGGGCGGAAGCCUGAUGCAGCGACGCCGCGUGAGGGAUGACGGCCUUCGGGCUGUAAACCUCUUUCAGCACGGAAGAAGCGAAAGUGACGGUACGUGCAGAAGAAGCGCCGGCUAACUACGUG